UGCAUUCACUACUGUAAUUCGCUCUGGACAAGAGCGUCUGCUAAAUGACUAAAA
rfam:Salmo salar isolate Sally breed double haploid chromosome ssa16, whole genome shotgun sequence.